CACUAUGAAGCUAAACAGCAUUAACCUUUUAAGUUAAAGAUUGAGAAAUAAAUUCUCCAUAGUGA
rnacentral:tRNA from 1 species